rnacentral:lncRNA from 1 species
GAACAGGCCAACCCAAGAAUCUUCAUGGACAACUGGCUGGGAAUCCUGAGACUGGGAAAGUAAUACUUGCAUCAGUUUGGCCUUGAAUCUAGAAGGGCAAUGGUGAAAGACUUAAGGCCAGCGUUCCAGAGUGGGUAAGAUGAGCAUGUAUUCCAGCUCUGAGUUGGUUUUAUAGGCAUGCAAGGAGAACAAUGGUGGGUUUUUAAAAUUUGUUUUAAGUGUUUCUUUAGAUUUCUUACUUCUUCCAGAAUAUUUGGGUUUUGCAGUAUGGUGAAACAAAUGUUCUCAAUCUGGAUUCUUAUCAGUGACAUUAUCCCAUUUUGUGCUGGGUAAUUCUUUCUUGCAGAGGUGCAAUUUGGAUGUUUAGCAGCUCCCUGGCCUUGUGAUACCCUAGCUAUGAUAACCACAACAUUCCCAGCAUCAUCAAAUAUCUUCUUGGGGGAAAAAUUUUCCUCCUGCUUGAGAAGCAUUUUGUUGCUAAUGGUUCCUAUUAGGUUGGAAAUAGUUCAGUAAAAGUCAAUAUUUUAUUAAAUGCUGAUUACCUGUCAGGUCUUGUUUUUGUUGAUAUUAUUAUUUAGUACCAGGAUGUCUUGCUAAGUUGUUUAGGGCCUCACUAAGUUGCUGGGGCUGGAUUUUGAACUUGUGAUCCUUCUGCCUCAGCCCUCUGAGUUGCUGAGAUUACCGGUUGGGCACCACCAUGCUGGGCAGGCCUUGUGUUAUUUAAUUUAAUCCUUAUAAGAAUCAUCAGAAUUAAAUCCUAUACUUUCAUCAUCUCAUUUUCACAGGCGAGGAACUGAAAAGGAGUUAAAUAACUUUCAUGACUGCACAUCGGCAAGUGGCAGACUCAGCACUAAAUAUAGAGGGUCUGACAUCACAAGUGUCACCCUUCAUUAAUCUCCUAAAUGGAGUAAAAAACAGAAUUAUUGAUUUAUAAAAUAAUAAUUCACAGACAUCAGUGUACAUAAUUUUCUGAAUCAACAAUAAAACAGAAGGGAAAGAGAUGGUACAACAUUGUCAGAGGAAUAUUAAAUCAUUUUUUCAUUCCUUUAUCACAUAUUUACUGUUUAUAGGGAUACAGAAAUGUAUGCAACAAAGUUUCUGCUCUCUAAAGCUUACUUACAUUAUUUUAGGAACAAAAGAAAAAAUUCGUAUGUAAUAUUUCAUAUAUUAAUGUGUUACAGAGAAAAUAAAACAUGUUAAAAGAGGAUACAAAGGUCACGAGGCUUCUGAUAUGGUGACAUUGAGCAAUGAGGGAACAGCAUUGUGAAUGAAGUGCAGACGAGGUAGGGAAUUUACUCCAGGUGAUGAGAACAGCCAGGACAAGGUCCUGAUGCAGGAGCAUAUUUGAAGUGGAAGUGAACUUGCUACACGCUAAGGGGAAAGCAAGGAGUCAACGCAACCAGAACAGAGAGAGUGAAGAGGAACAGGAGAAGGGAUAGAGAGGCAAGGCCAGGAGGCAGGGGGGUAACAUGGACCCUGUAAGUCCCAUUAGGCCAUGUAAAUGAUGUCAACUUCUACUCUGACUGAGAUAAAAAUCUAUUAGAAAAAGAAAUGCCACGAUCUGACAAUUUUUCAAAGAAUCAUGCGGAUGUUUUCCCCUGUUUGGGAAAUGGUUUAUCACCAUGAAUGACCAUGAAUUCUGGAAUGAGGCUGGCCUCUUUUUUUUUUUUUAAGUGUUAUCUCUAAGAUCUCACUCCCUUUGGACUUUGGAACAAAUGACUUAACUUUCUGGUCUCUCUCUCUCUCUUUUUUUUUUUUUUGUUAUGUUUUUUUGUUUUGGCUAAAGAAAACUUGUGGUAAUAUCCUUCUUAUUGAAUCUCAGUGCCAUUAGACAGAAGAUGCACCAUUAUUUUAUGUUCCAGUAAGAAAACAAAACAAAACACAACAUUGCUGAUCAUGUACCAGUCAUUCAAACCAGGCUGUUUGGAAAUGACAUUAAUCUAUUCCUGGGGAUUUGGUAAUUUUCUCUGACUUCUCUUGCAUUUCUUGGCAUAUAAUAGCAAUAAUUUUGCAUAAAAUUCUCAGUAACAAAAUGAAGCACACAUUUAUCUGUUUAUUGGUAGUUCUCAGAGUCUUAUAAAGCAUUUGGUUGUUGCUUUGUAAGAAAAGAUGAAAUUUCUUUCCUACAUGAAUAUUUGCUUUACUAACAUUAAAUUUAUCCCAUACAUAUUUGUUCAGUUUUUAUGCUUAUAAAAUAACAUUUAAUUUAAAUACUGAGUCACAAUAUAAAUGAUUUUAAAACAGAAAUUAAACAACAUAUGCUGUGUCAAUGAUGUGCAUUAAGUCAACUGAAAUGAUAUUAAUGUGACUUUACACAUUUACAGACAAUGACAGAAUAACAUGUCUGCCUUUUGGCCCAUGAUGAUUGAAAGGGAGCAUAAAUUCUAGGUUAAAAUGUAAUGUGUGUGAGUGUAUGUGUGUGUGUGUGUGUGUGUGAGAGAGAGAGAGAGAGAGAGAGAGAGAGAGAGAGACAGAGACAGAGAGAGGGGAGAUGUAUAUAUGUAUGUUGUAAUUGGUGGAAUGUGUAGUGGUACUUGAAUUGUAAAAUAUAAUUGACAGUAAACUUUUGGUAACUAUUACUUAGAAUUCUCAUCUUUAUGAAGGCACUAUUUUAAGAAAAUAUGGAAAGAAUGGAAUGAGAAAACUUUCAUUUCCUCCAUUUUUCUCUAGCCCCAAUCUUUCAAUUGUAAUUACUCAGGCAUCUUCCUAUCUUUUUGUGCUUUCUACUCCCAGAAGGAAAUAAAAUGACAUGUUACAACUCCCUAAACAUCCCCUUUCCCCAAAUCAUUGAUCAAUAGCUCAUAUAUAUAUAUAUAUUUUUUGCCCUAAGUCUCUGGGUAUGCUUUCCAAAGUGUAAUGGAUUUUUAUUAUUUCUAUCCCUUGAGUAGCUUUUGAUCCAAGGUUGACUUUUGCCGUGUAAGGUUUUUUUUUUUUUUGGUCCCUUAAUGAUUUGGAAAGCUGAGGAGACAUUUUCACUUUGUCUUAUCUCUUCCUUGUUUAUUAUUUGGCCUGAUUUUGGAGAACCCUUCCCAAAAAGUCAUGGUUGGCUGAUAAGUUGCCCCCUAAACUCAGGGUCUGAUUUGUCUUUACAGUCAUUAAACCAUAUGAGAUCAUUUAGGGAAAGGCUGAGGGUAGCGACAUUCAUGGUUAUUAUUUAUCCCUGGCCUUUUUACAUCUUUCCAGAAUGGCAUGCUUCUUGACCAUCUGCCUUAUCAAACUAAGAAAGAAAACAGAUGGUGUGGGAGCCAACAGAUCAAAGGAAGGACUGGAGGAAGCUCUUCUCAGGAAUCAGCUUGUUCUUUUGCAAGGGCUAAUUGUAAACUGGAAAUGACCUGGUGCUCUGCUGCACUGGAACCUCAGGCCAACAUAGAUGCUGUCAGUUUCUAUCAGCCCCAGGUGAUUAACAGUAUCUUAAAUCUUCAGAUGAAAUUGUUGCUGGGUCUUUUAGAGCAGGUGGUCUGUUCUGAACCACAAGCUGUGCAAAUAUUGAAAGGAGAGUAUCCAUUUGGGAGGGAAAGUAGGCAGCCAAAAAGACCUUGAUCCUGGAGAUGGUACUUGUUACUUAACCUGGCUGCAGUAUAAUAAAGCUAAUUAUUGAUAUCUUUAAAAUUAUUGAUUGUAUUUUGAGAUAAUCUGUCUGAACUAUCCUUUUCAAUCACUCAAAAUACUCUAAGCAGCUUAAUUCACUUGUUAUUGGCACCUAGAUUGGGAUUUGUAGCAAGGUUGGUGACCAAAUAUUUGCCCCAAAGGUCACUUAAACUCUAAUUGAUUUUUCCAGAAGUUUUGAAACGAGCUGUCAUGUUGAUUGUAACCCUUAAAAGUCAGAUCCCUGCUCACUUGCUCAGAUGAAAGCAUUUUUGUUAGCAUGUUAAUAUUUCAUUUUAUUCUCUGAGUUUGUAUGAAAAUGAACCUCGAAUAAUAUAGCAGUCUUUUCUCAUUUAGAAUGUCUAGAGUCCUUUACCUUUAAUUUUUUUUUUUAGAAUUACAAACAUUCAAACAUUUAUGUGCCUUAAUAAGUUUUAUUCUCUGGCAUAAUUUCAAUUAAAAAUGCUUGUGAGGAGAGUUAAGUCAUUCCUUGUGAUUUGUGCCUGUGCAUUGAUCGUAUCCUGUAAGUGCUAGUGUAAGGUGACAAAUGCAGAUACUAGACAGGAGGAGGGAAGUGACGGGUAGCAGCAAGCAGCAGGCAGAGCUCCGUGGACGUGACCUCUAUGGAUGGGCACCCAUCAUGGGUCUUGGCAUUUGAAAAGGAUUAGAGGAGGCUGAAUAAAUAUUCUUGGUCACACAUAAGCAAAUGAUUAAAAGUCAGAUAAUCUUUCUUGGUAAAAAGCUGCUAUAAGCUGCCAGGCAUGGUGGUUCAGUCUUGUAAUCCCAGCGACUUGGGAGGCUGAGGCAGGGGGGUCGUAAGUUCAAGGCCAGCCUAGUAACUUAGCAAGACCCUAUUUCAAAAUAAAAAUAAAUAAAAGGACUGGGGAUGUGGCUCAGUUGUAAAGCACCCGGGUUCAAUAAAAAAAAAAAAGAACAAAAAUGAAUCUGCUGUAAGCAAAAAUAAUUCUCCCUAAAAGGAUAGGAGUUUGGUAUUAGGAAUUCUCAUUGGACUUAAGGAGAUUCAUUUUAUUCUUUGUCAAAUGAAAUUAAAAUUAUGUAUGAAAGAGUCUUAAGCUUCCUUGAAAAUUUAUCCUAAUCACCUGUCUGACAAUAUAACCCUUUGCUAGAGAUAUAUCUUAAUGCACUUUCAUUUGCAGAUAAUAUAUUACAUUAUAUAUAUCUAUAUCUAUCUGUAUUUAUCUAUCUACCUACCUAUCUGUCUAACUCUCUCUAUAUAUAUCUUUGAGGUGAUCUGAUGUUGUUUAGCAAACUUAAAACCCAUCUACCAAAAAUAAUUUUGACCACCUACUAUGUGCUUGCUUUCCAAGUUGCUGAGAUAAUAGUAUUAAAAUUGUGGUGGAUUUCAUCAUUAGCCUUAAUUCUUUAACUACUCCCUAUAUCAUACUCUUUGCUGGGUGACUUUGAAGUUUACAAGAACAAAGAGAGAAGUUGAGUGACCAACUGGUCUGUUUACCAAAGACUUUUCUGUUGUAACAUGGAAAUUGUUUGCAUUUUCAUUCUGAGAAGAUAAUUGGUUUCCCAAAGUGAAGUAUAUUUCUAUAACCUUUUACCUUGGGCUUGGUCAUGUGACAUAUUUGGUCAAUAGAGUAAGGUAGAAAUUGCAGAGUGUCAAUUCUGAACCCUGCCCUUAAUAGACUUCACAGGUUUACACUGUCUGUGCUUCUCCUACCAUCAUAAGAAGAACAUGCUGUGACUAUCCCACUGGUCUAAGGAAAGUGUGAGUAUAUGGAAAAGAGCCAAACUCAGCAGAGUAGCCUGGCCAAGUCCAGUGUAUGCCAGCUGUCUCCUAGCAAAGCUACAGUUACAUGAGCAAUAAUAAUAGUCAUUGUUUCGAACCACUGAUUUCGGGCAUCCAUUAUUAGACAGCAUAAAUAGCCUACAUAAAUACACUUUAUUAGGACCAGGCACUGGGUAAAAAGUCUUAAACCAUCUCCUGCUACCACGCCAUGAAGUGGUAGUUAUCACCGCUAUUUUAUAAUUGGAUAAAUUGAUAUGGAGAAAGAGUCAAUGCCCAAGUUAAGCAAUGGAGCUGUUUUCAAACUUUUUUUUCCAUGAAGUUUGAAAAGCUAUCAAGCAGUACAAGCUUAUUAUAAAAUACUCAAGCUAAUCAGAAAAUCUAAAUAAAAAAAGUAAAAUGUCCCUUCCCUUCCUGCCUCCCCUCUUUUCAUAGUCUUCCUCUGUGACACAAUCACUGUUAACCUUUGGUGUGACUCCUUCCAGAUAAUUUUCCAUGAUUUUUUUUUUCAGCACAACUUUUCAUUUCUCUUAUUGUAUACAAUGUAGCAUCACACCAUAUGUGCAGUCAUACGUGUACCUUGGUUAAUGAUGUCCAUUUAAUUCCACAAUCUUUCCUGCUCCCAUCCCCUCCUCUCUCUCCUCCCCUUUGCCCAAUCACUGUUCCUCCAUUUUCCCAUGCCCCCUCCCCACACCCAAUUAUGGAUCAGCAUCCACUUAUCAGAGAGAACAUUCGACCUUUGGUUUUGGGGGAUUGGCUUACUUCACUUAGCAUGAUAUUCUCCAAUUCCAUCUGUUUACCUGCAAAUGCCAUAAUUUUAUUAUCUUUUAAUGCUGAGUAAUAUCCCAUUGUGUAUAUAUAACACGGUUUCUUUAUCCAUUCUAGUUCAUGGAAUAAUUUGAGGAGUAUUGGUAUUAAUUCUCCUUUGUAGGUUGUGUAGAACUCAUGAUGUGAAUCUGUCUGGUCCUGGGCUUUUCUUGGUUGGUAGGCUUUUGAUAGCCUCUUCUGUUUCCUUGCAUGAAAUUGAUCUGUUUAAAUUGUGUAUGUCCUCUUGACUUAAUUUGGGUUGACCAUAUGCCUCUAAAAAUUUGUCAGUGUCUUUGAGGUUUUCUACUUUACUGGAGUAUAAAUUUUCAAAUUAUGUAUGAUAUAUCAAAGUGCAUAAAUGCAGUCUACUGUCAUAUAUAACUAAUUAAAACAAAAAAAAUUUAAAAAACCAUUGACCACAAAUACCCUCCAACCUCCCCAGGAUUAAUCACUAUCUUGAUUUAUGUAACCCUAGUUUUGCAUAGUUUUGAAUUUUUGUGGGUUAUAUAUUAAUGAAAUUACUUUUCAGCUUUUGCAGAUAUACUCCAGCCAUUGUUCAUAGUGAUUUUGCCAAUUAUUCUCAGGGGCAGCAUGGGGACAGCCAUCCCUAUCUCCUCAUCCGAAGUCUGCUGUUCUUCUUUCCUUGCAUUGCAACAAAUCUAACAUGCAUCUGCAGUACUUGUCUGUAUGAUCACUCUUUGGUCAUCCCUUGGGACAAGGUUUACACCCAGGUCUGCUUUUGCAAAAAUGGGCCUGGGCAAGAGGUCUAUUUAGAUAAGAAAUUCUGGAGACCUAACUGUCUGGACUGUAGUCCUGGGAAGGAGCAGGGAUGUGUUCUGAGUGAGCAUGCUCUUAGGCUGCAUGGAUUCUUUUACUCCAUGGGGUGAGGCAGGGCCAGAAGGACUGCUCCUGCCUCUGUCCAAGAACAGUGUUGUACUCAUUUUCAAUGUAGGAAAGUCCCAGUUCUACUUCUUCACCAAGACUCAAAAUUGUUAGUCAUCUUUAUUUUAGCCAUUCUGCUGGGUGCACAGUGGUGUUUUAUUGUAUGUUGCACUGAUGAUCAUUGAGGUAGAACAUUUUUCUUUUUUCUUUUUUUUUUAUUUGGACAUACUGUCUUGAGGAGUAUCAGUUUUCCACAAUUUUCUAUGACUUUGCUGGUCACUGAUAUUAUCCCCGUUUUACAAUGAGGUAUCUGAAACACAAAGAAGAGAAAUAAUUUUGUGAAAAGCCAUAAGUAGAAAGUAGCAACAUCUGGAGUUUGAAUCCAUUGUCUCUAACUCUGUAAAACUCUCUCCUGGUACACUCAGAUGAUCAGACAAGAAACCUGAAUUGGUGUUUGACAUCUGUUCUGAUUCACUGAUAUGUAGCUUGGGGUGAUCCUUAUGAGGGCAAAGAGUUAUAUUCAAGAGACCUAAGUGGAGACUUUUUUUAGGUAAGAUAUAUAAUCAGGGAAGGGGCUAUGUUACAGAGACCACAGUCACAGAAAAGAUAAUAUUAACUGAAAGAAUAAAAAUGACCACUGACUUGAUUUCUAAUACAUUUCUAUUGAGCAUCUAGUAUGUGCUGAGCACUAUGCUAAAUUUCUAUACAUCAUCUCUGAUCUUCACAGAAACCCCAUGAAGACAGUAGUAUGUCCAGUUUAUAGGGGAAAACAAACAACAAAAACCUGACUUUUGAGAAAGCUAAUGGUACAUACUAGAAAGAGGUGGAGCCAGGAUCCCAAAUUAGGCCUCACCCCAGCUCCAGGGAUAAUUUUCUUCUCUUCCACUACACUUUCCUUGUUGGAAAGUAAGAUGACCUGCACCACUAAUUCCACUUGGGAUUCCAUGAAAUGGGGCUGGAUGUGAAAACAAAGCUGCUCAGGCACAUGGAUCAUAAGGCAUAUGGCCAAUGUUUGCCUUAAAGGUAGGAUCCCAAGGUAGAGCCAGGGAAAGAAAUCACUGAGGUGUCUAAAUGAAGUGUCUGCUAGAAGGAGCCAAAGAGUCAGUGGAACAAAUGCCAAGGACACCAGAACAAGUUUGGGAGAGUAGGUGGCAGUGAAUCCAGGAGAGAUUUCUCUGAUGCUUAAUAUAGAUGGGGGAGGAUUUUUAGAGACAUUCCAGAAAAUUCUGCGUGUGAAAAAGGCACACUUUGGGGGGUAUGGAGCCAGUUUGGGCCCACUGGUCCUUAUUGGAUCUUACAGACUAGAGGCUGGUGUGUGGCUCUGUUCCCUUUAGCCUACAUCCAGGAAGCUGCAUCUUUGUGGCUUGGUCCCUUCUAUUAAGGUGCUGAGGCUGCUGUAACAAAUCACCAUGAACAUGAUGAUUUCUGAUCACAUUUUAUUUUCUUGCAGUUCUGAAGAUUAGAAGUAAAAAAUGGGUUUCAAGAAGCUAAAAAAACAAGGUGUUGGUAGGGCCACUGCUGUGCCAGCCCCCCCAAGGGGCGGGGGUCACAUCUCCCUCUGCCAAUGCCACUUGUGAUUGCAUUUAGGGCCCAGCUGGAUAACCCAGAAUACUCUUCUCAUCCAAAAUCCUUAAUCAUACCUCUAUAUAAGGUAAUAUUCACAAGUUCCAGGAUUGGGUCUUGGAUAUCUUUGGGGGUCACUAUCAGGCUGUUACACCCCCACCAUUUGGACUUAAUAUUCAAUAGCAUAUCUCCUGUUUUUUCUCUGUGCAGGCUUUUACUUGGAAAUAAACUGGAUAAUUGCCUGAUUCACUGAAAAUCAGACAAACCCUUCUAAAAAUUUCUGUUCAGAAAUUUCUGUCUUUGUGGUUUCCAUAAACCACUUACAUUUCCUUCGGAUCUAUUAAAGUAUUCUAGGCAAGCACAAAGAACAGUUAACACUUACAUUUUACCUCAGAUAUAAAUUCUUUAGAUGAGUCAUAGGGUUUCCUACUGUGAAAUCACCUUUCUCAGAAGCUUCCUUUUCUAGGAACCUGAUAUGCUUUCAGAUUUUCUGCUUAGAAAAAAAAAAAUCUCUUCCUGCACCACUUCUCUCAUGCACAUUUUGCGAAUCCCUGUCAGCAGUGACAGGAAGCUCACUUCCGUGCGAGGGCUGUCUGCCCUGGGACACCUGUUGUGCUAGUGGCGAACAUGAGAUGUCAGACAUGUGCAGCCUCCUCGCAGGCUGCCAGGUGGACGGCUCAGCUGCUCCUCAGACUCGGGAUCUUCAUAGCUUUCUCCAGGGGCCCGGGGUUCCCUCUCAUUCUGCUUUUCAUCUUCCACAUCAUUCACAUUGUGAAAGGCUUUAUCAUUAUGGUCCCAGGAAGGCAUUUUUGUUCUGUAGCCAUUUGUUGUCAAUUCAUUCAGCAUGUGUUUCUCAAGUGUCUGCUACGUACCUAGCAUUCUGAUGGGUGCUGAGUAUUUAGGAUGAGUGAAGGACAGAUUCUGGCCUCAGGAUAUCAAGUUUAGUCAAGAUGUGAUAAAUCUGCAUAUUAAUCCUAAAAUUAGUGGCAAGUGAUAGAGACCAAAUACACACUAAUUAAACAUCAAUUGGGUAAUGAAAAAGUCCAGGGAUAGUACUAUGUUUCUGUUAGAGUCCAAUCAGAGAAGGGUUUAACCAGUUUAAAAGGUGUGCACGUGCACACACACACACAAGCACAAAGUGAUUUAUUACGAGACUUUGACCUAUGCAAUUACAAAAGAUGGCUGACUAGUCUUUAUCAAACUGCUCUCUUUGUUUCCCAGGGAAGCUGGAGGCAAAGUGGGUAAGAGUGAAGAAAUAUUGACAUGCUUGAACAUGAAGUCUAGGAGGAUGGGACUGGAACCUCUUUCCACCUCCUGACCAUGUUAACUUCUUUCUGCAGAAGGGAAACUGGCACUUUUUUUUUUUUUCAUGAAGCUAAACUUACACCUUUCUAGGAGUUGAUAAACUAAGGAAAUCUGAGUCAAAGUGAAGUUGAUGCAAACCUGGACGCCUCACCCAGACAAGUGAGCAGGUAACCAGCAAGAUGCUUGCACUGCUAUGCUGCCUUCUGCCCCUGUGUGGCCCUUUCGUGGGUAAAAGCAAUGCAGCUAUUUUCAUCUCCACCUUCUAACUCUCAUGCAAAAUGUCUUGUUUUCCAGUCUAACCGGAAAUUUAUAGCAGAGGGUAUACUGGGAGCUAGAUUACCUCUUAGCCAAGCCAGCACAUUACACAGCCACCCAUCCUGGCACAUGGAACAAUAGGCCAAAGGUGUUCAAUGUCCUUAGAAAUCUCCCAACUUUGUUUUUACCUUUUGACUUCUUUCUCAAAGUGCCUCUUUUCUCAGUUCUGCUUUAUAAGCCCAGUGGAAGGAGAGCCUCUCUCAAAAGUUUUAGCCAGCCCUGGACUGACAUUGACUCUGAUGUACCCAGAGGGAUGCUGCAGUCUCCUUGGGAAGUCCUAGGUGGCUUCUCUUGAAAUCAGGGGACAGGGCCAGCCUCAUUCUAAAUACAUACUUUGGGAACAUAUAAGAGGUAGCUCCUCAUGGGAGAAUGAAGGUGUUGGCAGCACAAGAGUGAAUCAAGCCAAGAAUAAAAGCCUCCUAAUAAAGAUAGGAAACUUGGGGAACGAUGUUGCCUCAGGACAUGGUUGUGUUGAAUAGGAAAGCAGCUGGCAGCAGAGAGUGAUUACUAGGCUGCUAUCUGGAGGCCCUUCCUGUCUGCUUUUAUUGGCUCUUGUAUUUGCCAGCUAUGUGUCCUUGGGCAACUUGCUUAAGCUCCUUGGAGCUAAAUUACCCCAUUAGACAAGGGGAAAAGUUAACCUAAAUCCACUCAUUCAUCCCGAGAGCAAUACCUGAAUGCUCACCACAUUCCACACCCUGUGAUAACGGAGAAGCCCUUAAGGUGCUUGGCAUAUGGUGAGGAAGAUGGAUGGGUAAAUUUACCACACAUGGAGCAGAUCAGAUCCUUAUAGGCCGAGAGGCAUCCCUCUGUAGCCAAGUGGGUUUCUCAGAGAAGCGCAUCUGAAGGGAACCCUUGAAAGAACAAGCAGGAUUUUCCUGAGAGAGGUCAAGAUGUUAAUUUUAUCGGUAAGCAUGGUAGAUACAGAGUGCAGAGUUGUAAAUGAGCAUGUCCAGAGGCAAACAUCCAAGGCCAUGUGCUGGCACCUGUGCAGAGCUGGCAGAAGCUAAGCUCUCUGGUGAGGAUCCAAGCAAGAAAGGUAUUGCACACCAUGCUACAGUGUGUGGUCUUCAUCUCAUAGGGGUUGAGAUACAGCAGGACCGUUUUGUGCGCAGGCGUCUCGUGAGUGAUAUUUAAGAACAGAACAUGGGAUGAGCUAAGAAAUCCUUUACCUUUUGAAAGUAACAGAAAUUGCGCACCUGGGCAGAGGCAUAGGUGGUGAUAUUUUUCUGAAGUUAAGGGCUAUUGGGGGUGGGACUUAUUAGGACACAGAAAUUCUCCAGCUGUGAGGAGGGAUUGGAAGAAAGGCAAAUGCCAACUCCUGUGAUCACAACUAGGAGGAAGAAGAGAUGGGAUGGCUACCACUGAGAAGGGAAAAACCGGAGGAAGCACAGCUUGAGAGAGGGGGACGCUGAGUGUAGUUUGGGGCCUGUUGAAUUAAAAUAGCUUUUAGGAUGCUCAGGUGAAAAACUCAAUGAGAGCCAAAGCUUCUAACUCCGAGUCCUCCAUUUUAGGGUUGGGUUCAUUUUAGUUAGGAAACUUUGCUUAUGUGCUUUUCUUGUCCACUUUCCAUGGUAUAAAGACAUGUCAUGAGGACCCAGGACUUGAGAAGUGGUUGGCAGAGUGAUCACUGUGCCUCUUUUAACAUCUUAUUCCCAGUCUUUAAUGGGAAGGAAGAAUACAAGCUGCAUGUCAUGAGUCAGGCACAGAAGGCACUAAAAUAACCAUGUGUUUCCUAAUUUCCCUUCAAUAUCUAUCACAGAAAAAAAAGUCAUCGAGUAAGAAAGGCUUUUGAAUAGUUCUUCAUAAAAUAAUUUAUUUCUCAGUAUUUGAAAUAGUCUCUGUGAAGAAUGAUUUUUUGAUAAUUUUUUUUCCUUCAAAAUGACUUUAAGUAAUAUUACCAUUCUUUAUUAUAAGAAUGCAGUGAACACUCCAAAAUAAUUGGAACUUUAUAAUAAAACACAAUCUGUAUCUCAUUUCUUAUUAAUAUUUUUAAGGAUACUUUUACUGAGCUGGGGUUGUGUCUUGGCAGUAGAGUGUGUGCCUAGCACAUGCGAGGCCCUGGGUUUGAUCCUCGGCACCACAUAAAAAUAAAUAAAAUAAAGGUAUUGUGUCCAACUACAACUAAAAAAUAAAUAUUAAAAAAGAAAGCCUUUUACUUCUAUGAUGCUGUAUCUAUCUAUAGAUAGAAUAGGUUUGUGCUGAACUGCAGAAGUUCCUUCUCGAGUUAUAAGGAUGACUGUAUUUUAGAUGAUCGUGGAUGGAUUUUUCCAGCAUCUCAGUGGCUCUGUGCUCAGAGCCACUCGGUUGGGGGCACUGGGUUCCCAUUAAUUUAGAUUUCAUGGAAACGCUACAAAGAAGGCAGAUUUGAACAUGAUUGCAAUUUCUUUCAGGCGGGUUCAUUGCGGUCAAGGGUCAUCUUCUCUUUUGUCUCUAAUAGAAGUCCGGAAAACUAAGUCCAGGCUUCACAUUCAUGAAAGUUUUCUUUUGGGGCCUGAGAAGGCAAAGGAACCACUACAAAUUAAUUCAUUCAUACAGUGAAGGGGGCAUCUUGCUUUCCUUUUAACUCUUUCUUAAGUUGGAUUUUUAUUAGUUUGAUUAAAGCCAAGAUUUAGUGACUUCUGACUGAUUGAAAUGUGGAUUCCAUUUAUCUGUAAAGAGGAACACAAAGCAGUCAUGAAACUGACAUGAUACCCUGACGAGAUGCCUAUGUAUGCACUUAUUUCAGGAACUGCAUUUAAAUACAAUAUUUCCAUUAGGAACUGAAAAUAUUCUUUCAAUAAACUGUAUCAAGUAGGCAUUAUUACUUGCAUUUGACAAAUGACAAAACUGAGAUUCAAGAAAGUAAACCCACUUGUUAUAAGCUACUUCUGCUAUAAAUCAAGUUUGCUUUUAUCUAAAGCCUGUAUUCUUCCCUCUUUUAAAUACCCUUCAUAUUUUAUUCUAGGUAUACACAUUGUGUCUUAUUGGUGACACACAAGUUGGAAAUAGCAUUGGAUUAUGAGUUAAAAGUAGGAGCUAGCCAGGUGUGGUGGUGCAAACCUGUAAUCCCAGCAGCUCAGGAGGCUGAGGCAGGAGGAUUACAAGUUCAAAACAGCCUGAGCAAAAGUGAGGCACUAAGUAACUUAGUGAGACCCUUUCCAUAUACAAAAAUACAAAAUAGGGCUAGGGAUGUGGCUCAGUAGUUGUGUGCCCCUGAGUUCAAUCCCCAGUACCCCCCCAAAAAAAAUAAAAUGAGGAGCGCUUCUUCUAUCCACUAAAAAUGACUUAACUGCUAUGAAAUAGGAAAUUUUGCAUCCAUAAAAUAAAGGUAACAGUAUCUGCUUCUACUCUUUUCGCCUAAAUAUGUUGGUAUGAGGGUCAGAUGCAAUAAUAUUAGUGACAGGUUUAGUGUCAUAAAAAAAAAAAAGACAGAAGAUGAGAUUUGACAUCCAUUACCUUCCAGCUUUAACCUUGAACAAGGAACUUUAUAAUCUGGCCUGUAUUCUCAUCUAAUAAGUGUGAGUCUGCCUACCUUACAUGCUAAAUAUCCUACUUAAAUGAAAUAUGUAAUUUUUAGUAAGAUUUUAAAAACCACUAGGCAGAAUUUGUAUAAGAGAACAGAGCCUAAGUAAGAAAAUUAUUCAAAAUGCAUAUUAGUUUUCUACUGCUGCUGGAACAAAUUAUCCUAAGGUAGUGGUUUACAUAACAGGAAUUUAUUAACUUAUAGUUUCAGUAUUCCAGAAAUUCAAUAUGGGUUUCACUGGGCUAAAGUCAAGGCAUCGAUGGGCAUUGGUGGGGCUGUGUUCCUCCUGGAGGUUCUAGGGAGAAGUCUAUUUACCUUUUGCAACUUCUAGACGCCACUCACAUUUAUAGGCUCGUGGUACACCUCCUCCCCCUUCAGAGUCAGAUACUGUUUUAUCUCCCUCUUUUUUGGUUGUUCAGUGUCUCUGACCACUGGAAAAGGCUUUCCAAUUUUGGCCCUUGUGGAUAAUCCAGGAUUCUCACCCUAUCUCAAGGUUCAUAAACUUCAUCACAUCUGCAAGUCCUUUUGCCACAUCAGUAAUAUAGUCAGAAGUCUGGGAAUUAGAGUGGGUUAUUAUUCUGCCUUUCACCAUGUGUGACAUAAUAAAGUGAUUAUUACUGAGUUACUAAAAAUUAUAAUGAUGAUGAAUUGGUUUUUUUCUUUUUGCUAAAUUACUCAUCAUUUGAUCCAUAACUGGAAUUUGAUCUAGCAUUAAGUCCUCAUCACAUUUAAUCUGCCACAGAAAUGAUUUUCAUGAGACGCUCACCUUAUUAAUCCAUCAUCUCAGUAAUUUAGUUAUUAACUGAUUUUCAAAAGAGAUUUCUCGGCUGCGGGAAGGAGAUUCUCACAAGUGCUGGCAGAUGCAUCAAUAGUAGGAAAGCAGAUCAACCUCUAAAAAAGGAAAAUCUUGGGAAGCACAUAUGUGAUCUGGAAUACAAACCAAGGAAUUGAGGGCUGUCCUGAGCAGUAGGACUAAAGGUGGCCAUCAUGUUAUUCAGCAGGGGCAGGGAGAAUUUUUUACUUUAAUAUGUAGUAUAAAACAGAAAUUAUGGCUUAUCUCCAAGUAGGAUCAAUCAUAUGAUUUAUACAGGUGCCAAGAUGUUGUAGGUAAGGGUGAUAAAAGCUGAAGUCAGUAGGUAACAGUAUCAGCCUCAAAAUAGGCCUGGCAGUGAAAUUUACAAAAAGGUCAGUUCAAUACAAACUGGUUUCCUUAAGAUGCUGUAGGUGAUCAACUUUUGAGCUUUUUCGUUUGUUAUAAAUUGGAUCAUAGACGUUUAUGUAAUAUGUGUCUCCUCGUCACAAAAAUUGUUCCCCACUAACUCAGUUCAAUAUAUUCUAUUUUAGCAUGCAAAGCUUUCCCUUCAGGUUUGCCCUCACACAUUUUAUCUUCUUUAUUGAGGAGCAAGAGUCCCUGUGAGCAUCUUGGAUUGUCACUUAGCAGGGGAAGUGAAUGUGAAUGUGAGAAAUGAAUGUGAACCACACUACAAGACGAGUCAUCCUUGUGUUUCUUGUAUAAGUGGGCUCUUAUUCCUCGUAUAUCCUAAACUUUGUUUCUCACUAUUUUUUUUUUGUAUUGAGGAUUUAACCCCAGAGCGUUUAAUCAGUGAGCCACAUCCCCAGCUCCUUUUAUAUUUUAUUUAGAGACAGGUUCUCUCUAAGUUACGUAGGGCCUCGCUAAGUUGCUGAGGUUGACCUUGAACUUGUAAUCCUCCUGCUUCCGCCUCCUGAGUUCCUGGGGUUUCAGUUGUGUGCCCCCACACUCAGAUUCCCCUAAUUCUCUUAAAGUUGGUCCUUCAUCUUCUCUUUCUCUUCUUUACUGGAUCAUUCCAGUUGUUUUUUUUUUUAAAAAUCCCUGAAAGAAUGCCUCUUAGAAGAGAAACUUCAACUGACACUAAGGUUAAUAGCUUAUUUUAAUUGAUAGUGGUUAACGUAAGCUAAAAGCAGUAUUGUUAUGUUUUGGAUAUGGAAUGUUCCCCAAAAGUUCAUUGCUUCUCAAUGCAACCAUGUCCAUGUGUAGAGGUCAGGAUUUGGGGGAAGUGACUGGACGCUGAGGAUUCUGACCUCAUCAGGGGAUUAAUCCAUUGAGAGCUUCACAGCUGAAUGCAUCAUUGAGAAAUGGCAGAAAUGUGGGAGGUAGAACCUGGUUGGAGGGAGUAGGUCCUUGGGAGCAUGCCCUUGGAGAUUAAAUUAUCCCCAGUUCUUUUCUUUCUUUCUGUGCUUUCUGGUUGCCAUAAGGUGAGCAGCUUACCUUUGCCAUACCUUCCGCCAUGACGCUCUGCUGGCCUAAGGCCCAAAUCAAUGGAGCCAGCAAACUGAAACCUCUGAAAUUAUGAGCCAAAACAAAUCUUUCUUUAAGUUGUUUCCUAAGGUGUUCUGGUCACAGAGAUGAAAAUUGACAAGAAUAAUUUCAGUAUUUAAAAAUAUCAAGCUCCAUGUCAAACUUUAGUGGGUCCUUGUGGCUUGGAGGAGAACAUUUCAUAUAUUCUUCACAUAAACAUUCCAAACAGCAAAGAGAGAAAACUAUGUACCCCUGUGGAGAUGGAGGGGCAGGGUUCUGAAAAUGCAGUCCCUCGGGUAGAUGCAGCAGGUGAAGCUUUUGAUUGUUCAUAUUUUAACUUAAAAAUUUACAUCCGUUUUUCAUUUGCCUCCUUAAUGUAUUACUAUUUAAGAAUGUCAAGAUAUUUUAAAAUUAUUUCUAUUUUAUACUUCUCUUUUUCUGAUCUCUCCAAUCUCUGAGUAUAAUUCAAUCCAAGAAAAUGUCUCAUGCUAAUUCCAUGGUAUCCUGUUAUCCCUUUAACUUGAUGCUCACCUCCAGCUUAAAAUGCCCAGGUCAGGCCUACAGAAUCCAAAUUCAAAAUCAUGUCAUUAAAGAAUGCCAAUAAUCAAGCAAGUAUUCCAAAUUUAACAUCUGUUUAAAGUUUGUGGUGGGUGAGUAGAUGGCUGUUAUAUAACUUUCUACACUUAAUUAAAUGGAAAUGUUUCAUAUUUAUAAAAUGCAAAUAAAAUGAAAUUUAAAGCAAGGUCCAUACAGUCUAAAUUCUACCUUGGAAUCCAAACACAUCUCUUUUUUAAAAUAUAUUUCUUAAUUUAUUCUACUUAGUUAUAUGUAACAGUAGAAUGCAUUUGACACAUCGUAUAUAAAUGAAGUAUAACUUCUUGUUCCCCUGGUUGUACAUGAUGUGGAGUUAUACAGAUCAUAUAAUCAUAUAUGCAUAUAAGGUAAUAAUGUAUAAUUCAUUCUACUAUCAUUCCUACCCUCAUACUCCUUUCCUUCCUUUCACUCCCCUUUGUCUAGUCCAAAAAAUCUCUAUUUUUGUCCCAUUAUUGUGUAUUAGCAUCUCCAUAUCAGAGAAAACUUUGACCAUUUGGUUCUUUGGGAUUGGCUUAUUUCGCUUAGCAUAAUAUUUUCCAGUUGCAUCCAUUUACAGGCAAAUGCCAUAAUUCAUUCUUCUUGAAGGCUCAUUAAUAUUUCAUUGUGUAUAUAUACCACACCAACUCAUUUCUUAAUGAGGAAUAAGAACAACUAACAUGUUUUUUUUUAUAUGGGAUGAAAUUUAAAUUGAGUCUCAUGAAAAGGAUGGGACUCAGACAAGCCAAGAGAAAAAAAAAAAUUCAUGCUAAGGACUGCAAUAAGAUUUGUAAUCAGAAAUUACUUAUUCUGUUCUGGAAACUUUGAGAGAAGGAUGAAGAGAUGAGUUUGGAUUCCAAGGUAGAAUUUAGAACGGUGUAGACCUUACUUUAAAUUUUAUUUUAUUUGUAUUUUAUAAAUGUGAAACAUUUUCAAAUAAUUAAGAAGUGCAGAAAGUUAUAUAACAGCCACCUAUGUACCCAGUACAGAGAAAGAGAUUGGUCUCAACUCUGAAUGUGGUGUGAGCAGUAGGAAUUUAUCACUAAGGAGCAGGGUGAGGGGUCCAUGCAUGGAAAAAUCACUGGCAGGAAUCAUGGAGGGAAAAGAAGGUUCUGGCUAAACUGACCUAGAAAGAUUCCUGCUGAAGGAAGGCCAGAGUAAUCAGAUGUCACCUAGGGGAUGGGGAAGAUAGGGUUGAUGAGAAAAGUAAAAACAAGAAAGUAAAAACAAGAAAGUAAACUGGUGGGACUAGGAGAUGUUUAAAAAACCUGAUUAUAGUUAGUCCAAGCAGAUCAUUCAUGUCGAUGUGAUCAAGUGCAAGGAACUUGGUUUUCUCUAGCACUGGAAGCUGUUUCUCACUCUCAUGUUGUUCUGUCAUUCCUGGAAUGUGGGUAGGAUGCUGCUCUCAGAUAAAUAGACAUCUAUCUACUCUUUGUUCCAAGUUGCAGCUUGAAGCUCUUCUCUGUUGGCCUGAAGCUGGAAGCUGGUCUGAGGUGCAGAGGAGCCAAAGGUCCCAGAUGCUCCAGGGGGUGACCACAGUGAGUCCUGUUGAGCCAAUCAUUUCCUUUUCCACACAUCUGAAGUAUCUACCACCUGGACAAUUUCUGUUUACCCAUCUGCCUAUUGUGGUUAUCUUUUCCAUGAUGCACCUUUUUUUCUCUUCUGUUAGCUGGUAAGUGCCAGAGUAGUCACUUAAAGAGCAUUUAGAACCGGAUGCUAUGAUGCAUGCCUUUAGCCUGCGGCCAGCACAGGCUUCAUAAAUGAAGGUUCAGCUACGUGAGAAAUCCAAAAGGGAGUUUGAAUUAAAGAGACAGGUUCUAAUUACCUUUAAACCAGCUCCAGGAUGGCUUCUCCUACCUCCGGCCUCAAGCUACCUAUUAGAGUAGCGAGGUUUACUGAAGAGGAGAGAGAGAGAGAGAGAGAGAGAGAGAGAGAGAGAGAACAUGCCAGGGAGUGAACUUUUAUUGGGGAACAAAAAAUUCUGGGGAAAAUCCCAUCCAAUGAAGAUUAAGGGGAGCAGUGUCCCAAGAUCAGGUGCGAUGAUUGGGUCUUCAGGGCUUGUGGCCAGAAAGCCUCCACACAGACAAGCCCUCGGACCUGAGAAGGGUGGGGAAAGCUCUGGACACAAAGAUGUGUCUAAGUGCCUCUUGCCCAGCCAGGGAGGUAACUCGAAUCACAUGCGAGGAUGGCCUUCCACACAAGCCUGAAAUCCCAGCAACUCUGGAGAGGUAGGCAAGAGGACUGCAAAUUCCAGACCAGCUUGAGCAAUUUAGUGAGAUCCUGUUUCCAAAAAGGAAAAGAAAAGAUAAAAGGAAGUGGUGGUUGGUUCAUAUGAGCGAACCUGUCUUCCCAGGUGAGUCACUGGAUGAAAUCAUGAAAACAGACUUUGCCAAGAGAGCACAUUUCUCUAUUCUCUAUGUCAAAUAUCCAUGUGAUUCGUUGACACAUUCAUUCAUUAGCAAAUGUUUUUGAGUGUCCAGCAUGGCCAGGUACUAUUCUUAGUCGAAAUGAAGCAGUGUGCAAAACGGAAGGUGAUGGGGAUGAUGAUGAAGAAACUCCCCCUGGGUGUGGUAAUAAGUACCUCCCAUUUGGCUGUGCCUUUCUUGGGGCACCACCUGUGAAUCCAGGCAUAUGAAGAGUUGCCAGUGGCAGAGUUCUAAGCCAUUAGCUCAUUGGACAUACAGAGGUUAGAUGCAUUAAGGCUGCUGACUGAACAUGAGGAACAAGAGCUACCCUUUGCCUCUCAGGCAAGUGGGGAGUUAGAAACUCACGCCCUUAGGAGAUGGUCCAGGGCUGAGAAGAUGGAUAACAUUCCAUAUCUGACAUAGAUUUAAAUUCUGGAGUAGAGCCAGUAAAACUGUGCCAACGUCCUAAAGAGAGGAAGUCUAUGAUAAAGAAAACUCAAAAUGUAAAAAUCAUACCAAGAGAUACAAAACAAAAAGUAACUCUUUUUUUUUUAUCUCUAGUAACAGAAUAAUCCAAUGUGAAAUAGUUGCUUCUAAAGGAGAGGUUACACUUUUGAGUUUACUUAAAUAGUGUUUUUCUCAUUCAUAAAAGUAAUAUAUCCUUUUGGAAACAUUAGAAAGUUACUAAAGGAGGCUGAGUUAAGGCAUAUAAAUUAGUUAGAAAUAGAUAAAUGAGAGACCCUGCCUUAUUUCUUCUGGCAACUUCUUAUUAGGUGCAGGUUCAUACUUUAUUUUUCUAUGUAUAAGCUAUUUUAUGCUUUCUUUGUUUUACUAAACUUGGGAAAGAAUGCCAAACCAAUUACUCUUUCUAAAGUAUAUAAAAUACAUGUCAGAAUGUGCAUAUUUUUCACUUUUUAAAAUGUUUUAUAUAUUUAUUUUUAAAUUAUAUAUAUCUUUUAAAUUUUUAAAUUUAUGUAUCUUUUUAUAGAAAAGUUGAAAAACACAAAAAUGAAGUUAAAGUUAUCUAUAAUCCCACUACUGCUGAUAUGCUAGCAUGUACUUUGGUGCAUUUAUUUACAGAUUGUAUGCAUGUAUAUGCAUAGAUAUCUUAUCCAUGCCAACAUAUAUGUGAAGAAUUACAACUACAUGGAAAAUGUUUAUGAUGUGAUAUAAGCAGGAAAGAGCAGAGUGGAAACCUUUUCCUGAUCUCUGAUCUCUUUAAAAUUUUUCAUAAUCAUGUUUUUAAUAAAUUCAUGAUAGUUCAUCAUUUUGCUGUGAGCUGGUAAACUUUUUCAGAAAAAAUGGGAGCUGCUCUUAAUAAAUUCAGAAAAUUCUGCUAUGAAAUGAAAACAGGUUGUCUGCUUAUUCUUUCUCCUCAUCAUGAUCUCAUAUUUUUUCCUAGCACUUUCCAACAUCCAGAGCAUAUAGUAGUAAACCUAAAGCCUGCAAAGCUUUAGAACUAGAUAUGAUUUAAUAUUUUUAACAGUCAGUACCCAGAAUAGUAACAUCAAUAUUCUGAAAGGAAAAUUAGGGAAAUGUCAAGAGUUGAAAACUUCCUACAUAUAGUUUGAGCAUCAAAAAUUAAAACAGCUACCGUAAUGUUUCUCUCCCAGUGUUUGCUACAAUAGGAGGCACACUUCUUUUACAAUGACAUCUUAGAGUCAUGAUUAAAUAUCUCCUUGGUCCUGAACUCUGGGCUUCCCCAAGGCCAGCACAUGGAUCAAAGUGGCUACAGAAAGAUACCUGGGGGAAGAUUUAAAACAAUACUAAAUCCUGGGUCCUGCUUCAGUACAUGUGGAGUGGACUGGAAAUCUGUAUUUUACAAGCUUUCCCAAGUGUUCUGAUAAAUAACCUAGUUUGAGAACCACUGCCUUGGGAGAGAUGGUGUAAUCCAAUUAUUUUCUGGCAGCCUGAAGGGAAGAGGUGAAGGUGGAUUUGAUUUAUUGUGUGAAACCUAAACUCCCCAGAGAGGCUCUCCCUAGAAGGCAUUAAAAAAAAUCUAUUUCAAUAUAGUUAUUUCCCUGGAGAGUUUUGAUUGUCAUUCUAAAGCCAUAGCAAAGAUUUGAUGAACUUUUCAGGUCACUUCCAACCACUCCAUUUUAUAAAACUGUGCUUAGUUCUGUAAAUGUUGCAAUGAUCUUUAGAAAAAAAAUUCCCUCUAGAAAAGAGUGCAUUUACUUCACACCCAUUAAGCUAAGCAAUCAUGACAUGUUCACACCCCUGAGCACAUUUUGUUCCUGAUAGAAAAUGAGACAUUCAGCUUAUUGUGGGCACAUAAAGACACUGGAGAUUUUAUUAUGGCUUUCAUUUCUCAAAAAAAUCUAUAUUAAACAUAAACUAAUAUUUAUUUCCUUCAUUUUGUCUGUAAUUUGCUUUGUAAAGAAUAUGUAAUAAUUUUUUCCAAUUUUACACAAGAAAUAACUUUGUAAAGAUGCCUCAUGCUAAUAUGAUCUUACGUUCCUCCCUUUCAAUCUCUUCAUAUUAAUUUACUUAAUAAAAAUCAUUUUAAUCAAAUAGUUAAUGCAUUCUACAAAUGCAAACCAUUCAUCUCAUAUUUCCAGCCUGUAUAACAUCCUCAUUAGAGGAAUUACUGUUGUAGUAGACUUUGAUAUUUUUUGUCUAUAAACCUCUUUUGACCACUGAAAGAUCUGCUUUUUAUCCACAAUAAGUGGUCCUGGUCUGUCAAUCACUAUGCCUGCUCCUUUGUUCUCCAUUGUAAGAGCCCAACCUUCUUAUGGCAAUGAUUGGCCUACUAGUUAGUAUGAGACCUAAAAAAGAUGAAUCAGAUGUAGAGUGGAAGAAUUAUCCUCCUUCUCUACCCUCCUAAACUUGACAGCUGGAAGAAGUUGACUCUAGUUUUUCCAGCAGCUGAUCUGAGUUUGUUUGUAUAAGAAUGUGAAUAUUUAGAGACUGGUAGAGAAGAGGGAUGGAGAAAGAUACCUAACGUAUUCUGGAUCUCAUCAUGUUGACCACCAACCUUCCGGCAAUGUGAAAUUUCUAUAUUUGUUCUGUGAGUUAUUUUAAAUUGGAUCUGCAGGCAAAUUGCAUUUCAGACAAAAUAAAUAAAUAAAGUCCUCACCAAUACAAUGAUUUUUCUCCAUUUUCCAGAUGAGUAAAUUGAGGCUCAGAAAGGUUAAGUAACUUGACCCAGCUAGUUAGUAAAUCAGUGGGGGCCAUUGGAUUGAAAGGGAACCAGUCCCUCAGAAGCGGCCAGCUGCCUGGAGGGCCCGACUCCUUCUGUGCACUUGUGAUAGUCANCAGCUAGUUAGUAAAUCAGUGGGGGCCAUUGGAUUGAAAGGGAACCAGUCCCUCGGAAGCGGCCAGCUGCCUGGAGGGCCCGACUCCUUCUGUGCACUUGUGAUAGUCACUCCUGCACCACAGAGCUCCGCAGUGCUGGAUCCUCCUCCUAGAAGCUGGAAGUCAUUUGCAGCAGAAGCAGGAGGGCGGAAGCACUGCUCAGCUUUCUUAGUCAUGGAGCUUCUUUACACAUGAGGCUGAUUUCAGCUUCUGUUUAAAUGGAAAACUACCCAUUUAUGUUGCUCCUUCUUCAUGUGACUAAUGACACACUAAUCCUAAAAAUGCUUUUUUCCCCCUUCUCUUCUGGUGAUGCUGGGAUGGGAGCCGUGCUGCAUGCUCAGCUAGUUAGUAAAUCACACUUGAGUUCAUAUCCUAACAGUAAAGCCUGUGUUCUUUAAACCAUGUUCUCAUUCUUCAGCAUCUACUGAAGAAAUCUGGCACUUGGAAAAGUAUCGUGUAAGAACUGGAUCAAAUGUGUCUGUCUUAGAAUAAUGUCAUGCCAAAGAGAGAGUUGUGGGUGUUGAUUUUGAUCCAAAUUUAUAGGGUCUUUGCAGAAAUUACAAGGUGCUAAAGUGUCAAAAGUAAAAAAAAAAAAAAGAAUCUACUAUGUACCUAAAACAAAAUUAUAAUUUAAAUUCUAUAUUAGCCAAAGACACACUUUUUAAAAUAGUACCUCAGAAUUUGAAAUGAGUUUUGUUAAAUUAUGGGUAAUAGUAAAUAAUAGACACAAACUCCACCAUAAUGUACACAUCUGUGUGUCAAUAGAGAUGUCCUGUUGCAAGUUAAAAUGUUUGAAUGGCAGACCUUUAUAGACAGGGACUUAUCUAUGUAUGUUAUAUUUUUCAAACAAAGAGUAAAGUACCCUUUGCUAUCUAGUAUCAGAUCAAAGUCUGUCUCUUCAGGGUCCCCUUAUAGUUGGGAAUGGUCUUUAUUUCCCGCUUCUACUCCUAAUCUACUCCUAAUCCACUUGUCUUUCUUUGACAGUAUGCUUCCCAGUGAAGAAUCUGAAGGACAUGAUUUUUAAAAUUUAUCUAUUUAAGGAGGCAUUAAAAGAAAUAGAAUUGAAUAUAGGAGAAAACCAAACUGUAUAACAUGCCUGAAUAAAUGUGCUAUACUUAAAUGUUUGGAUUUUAUUUUUGUUUUAGUAAAUAUACUUAAACUUUAAAAAAAAAGAUGUAAUAGUUGAUGUGUAAAGAACACAGAAACAUUUAGAUAAGAUAAAUACAGAGUCAGAAAAUGAAUAUCUGUGAAUCCAGUACUAGAUUCAGCUGUGGACUGAAGGACUAGAACUUGAUCAUUUCCUGUAACAAUUCUCCCCAAACCUAUCCCUAUGCCACCUUCCUCCUGAAUUUUAUGUGCAUCAUUUCCUUACAUUUUUUAAUUUAGUAAUUUAGUUUUUUUAGUGUAUGUUUCACUAAUGUACAAAAUAUAGAGCAUGGUUUUGAGAGAUACAACAUUUAUUAUCAUCCUAUCUGUGGUCUUCCUUGAUUUGCUGAUUUUAUUUCAAAUUAUGUUUCUAAAAUGCAUCCAUAUGCUUUUGUGUAGCUACGGUUCAUUCAUUUUUAGACUCUAUAAUAAUACUCAAUCUGUAAUUGUUUUAUAAUUUAUAUAAGUCACUUUCCUUUCAUUGAAAAUUUGAGGGAGGUUUUUCAAAUUUUGCUGAUGCAAAUGAUAUAGUAAUACAUGUUCUUAUUCAUGUCCAAGAUUUUUUCUUGGGUGCUAGGAUACCCAUGGUGGAACUGUCUGGUUUGGGGUAUAUAAUAUUUAACUUGAUAUGAAGAUGUUCAAAUGUUUUCCAUAUUUCUGUGAUUACUAAUACAGGUGAAUGCCUUUCCAAGUGUGUAUUUAUCAUUCAUGAUUCCUAUUUUUAUGAAAUACUUCAGUAUGACUUUUUUCUUUUGAGUUGUCUUUUUCUUGUUGACUUGCAGAUGUUUUUAAAAUACGUUCCAGAUUCUAUUCCCUUAAGGAUUCUAUGUUUUAUAAAUAUCUCCUUCAAGUUUAUGAUAUUUCCUUUUAACUUUCUUCCUGGUGCUUUUAAAAAUCAAUAUUUAAAAUUUUAAUAUAGUCAAAUGUCUCAAUCUUUUCUCUUAAUAAGCCAUGCCUUUUUUUUUGGUCUCAGCCUCACUGAGUAUAAUCUUUCAUAUCUUAUAAAUGUUUUUAUUUUUAUUUCUUGUAUUUCAAUCUUUAAUUCAUCUGAAAUUGGCUUUUAUACACGGUGUGAACUGGGGAACCAACUUUUUUUCAUUGAUUUUAUUUUUUUAAAUACAUGACAGCGGAAUGUAUUACAAUUCUUAUAACACAUAGAGAGCACAAUUUUUCAUAUCUUUGUAUAAAGUAUAUGGGGAACCAACCUUUUAUAUUUUCCCCUUUUAACUAACCAAUUGUCCACCAUCAUUUAGUUGAUAGCAUUCUCUUCCCCAGCCAUCUGUAUUUUCACUCUGUCUUUCGUGGGUUCCCUCUCUGUUUUGUUGGUCAAUAAAUGUAACUUCGUGUCUAUACCAUACAAUGUCAAUUAUUCUAUUUUUACAAGAAGCCUGCAUAACGGGUUGGACAAAUGCUAUUAUCUUUUUAAAAUUUAGGAAUAUUUGGGCUAUUCUCGGGCUUUUAAAUUUCCAUAUAAGUUAUUCAGCAAAACGUUUAGAGUUUCCUAAAAAAAAUAUACAGGUGGAAUUUGCUUUUUGAAAGGGCCAAUGCAGCUUCAUUUAUGUAGCUUUCAAACUCCAUUAUCCAAGUUCAAGGUCCUUCUGCCAGAGUUAAACGCCUGUCUCUGCUAGAUUGCUGUGCACCGUCCCAAAGUGUGAUAGAGCAGUUUUGGAGGUCCCAAUGCCUGCUGCUCUUGUUCCCAUGAAACACUGCUCCAGAAGGUCAUAUGUAUGUGCUGCUCAGCCAUGUGCCUGCUUGCACAGGUUCUGGUAAAUAUGCCACAAUGAGUUCAUUUACUUUCUCAGGGAUGGACAUGCAGGUUCCCUCUAGUUUUGAGAUGCCACAAACCACAUUGCUGUCUUUGUGUAUGUGAGCUUAUGGACCUGCAUGAAAAUGUAUUCGAAUGAGAUCUCGGCUGGUUCCUAGUUUACAUCGAUAUUUUAUCUGCUUAAAUAUUAUCAAACUUAUCAGCUACACCACUUGAUACUUUCACAUGCUUCUCAGUGUACCUCCCAUAUUCCUCUACCUAUUCAUGUAUAUAGAUAUAACAUCUGGGAAAUUAUAAUUUUGCUUACAUGUAGCCAUUUUCCAUCUUAUAUAAUUCCUAAAUGUUGUUCAAUGAGCAUGUGUUCUUUUUUACAAUCAUAAUCAUAAAAUAAGUUCUUCAAAAACCAUUUUCCCCUGACACACAUGUGCAGUGUGUGUAUCCCACCCCAGUGCCACCAACUUUACUAGAAAUAAUUUCUCAACCCUGGUCCCCCUACACUAUGAAAAGAGCCUUUCUUCACGGGCAAUGUACACAAUGUCCCAUCAGGCCUCUCUCCUCCUGCCUUGUGUCCUCUCUGUAUGUAAAAGCACCCCAUCCUCAAAUCAGGUGAGAUCUUGUCCGAUUUAUAAAAUUCUAUAACUAAAUCAUGCUAAAACAGAAUGAUUAAGUUUGAUGAAUAUAUGUCUGGGGCAGGAAGAAGAGGUUGUUUUUUUGUUUGUUUGUUUGUUUGUUUGUUUUUUUCCCAGAUGGUGAAAAUCACUAAGUAUUACUUAGUAAAACACUAACUUGAGAUGUGAACUAGCGAACCCCCAUCUGACAGAACCGUGAAGGCCUCCCUAGCCAGUUCACAGGGCAGAGGAUGAACAAAGUUUAUCUGCCUGAGCACCUCAUCGACUACUGCAGUUCCAGUCUUGUCUCCAUUCUGCCAUCUUGCGGCCUUUCCUGUUGCUGCAUUCAGCGUUCUAAUUGUCACAAGUGCCUUCAGANUAAAUGGAAUCAUGGAGAAUGUGUGAUGGUGUUUAGCUUCCUUCACUUUGCAUGAUGCUUUGUAGAUUCAUCCACAUCACAGCAUAUAUAAGAACUUCGUUUAUUUUUAUUGGUGAAUAACAUUCCAUUGUGUAUACACACACACAAUACACACACACACACAACUGGUUUAUUCACUCAUGCAUCAGUGGAUAUCUGGACAAUUUCCAUCCAGAAUUGUGAAUCCUGCUCUUGUGAACAUGAGUAUACCUGUACUACUUGCCUGAAUACCUGUUUUCAAUUCCUGGAGAAAAUAUAUAGGAAUGAAAUUGCAUUAGCCCUGAUCAAAAACUGAAGAUGUGGAUGAAAAAAUCUGAAAAUGUAAAAUAAAAACAUUAUUUCAAUGGCAGGGAAAAAUAAGUAAUGGAUCUAAAGAAGGAACAUUUUUUUAAAAAUUCUUUUAUUUUUCAGAGACUUUGUCCACCGUAGUAGUUAAUAAAUAAGUGGACCUCAGACUGCUUAUCUUUACAAUAAGGAGAAUAUGACUUACUUCAUACAUUUGUACUAAAUAUUUAAUUGGAAAAUAGUGCUUUGUACAGUGAUAGCAAUUGUCAAAACCUCAACAAAUGUCAAUCUCUUGUUUCUUUAUUCUUGUAAAGGAAAUGGGUUUUGUUUACCAGAGAUUUCAGAAGAAUUGAAUGCAGUUCCACAACUAUAACAUUCUCUGAGGAAGGAAAUUGAGUUGAGUGGAGUGUUGAUCUAUGUGGUUGCUUAUAUACUGGUAAUGUAUAUUUUACCCCCUCUGGCUCUCUGCCCUGAUGAAUAUGGUGUUCAGUUUUUUCCUCUAGGAAGACAACUGACUCUAUUUUCAGUCUCGGGAGUUCCGCAUCACAAUGAAGAUGAUCUCAGAAUCACCUGUAAAAUAUUUGACAGAAACUAUUAAAAAGCCACAAAUAGUUUUUCUCUUUCCUAAAGCAUACAGAGUCCUUCUUUUGAAAAAGUAAUGUUAUGUAAAAAAAAUGCAAAAUCAUAUCCAAUGUGUUUUAGCUUUCAGUUCCUGUGAAUUCUUGCUCUGUUGAAAGAUUAGUGUGUCCAAAAGAAACCAUAUUGUUGUAACUUUGUCAUGUAGUAAGAAUCCCAAUUUGAGAAAAUUUUAGUUUUAAAUUAUGUGAGGAAAUUUUUAUCUGUGGCUGACUUGAUUUGGUGAGCACACUUGUUUCCACAAUAAAAUUAAUGUUAGGAUUUCAUAAAAA